rnacentral:lncRNA from 1 species
AGUCUGUCUCAGCACACACUCACACAUGCAUGCUCAUACCCGUGCUGAGUGAAUCCAGUUAAUUCCCAGAGAACUGCAAAUAAAGUGUCAGCACUUUAGGACGCUGCAUCAAAUACCAUUCUACAAAAGAGGAGAGCUUUAGCCAGUUCUCUUCACCACUUCCAAAGCGAGGAUGAAAAUUCCACCUGUUCGUCAAAACUCAGCCAGAGCUCAGCCUCCCUCCAAUGAGAAAAUAUUCCCUGUGCUACAAGCUGAAGCCACAAAGACCAGUGUCGGUGGAGGAGACCCUAGUGCCCACAAAUAAAGCCCAGCACUGUACAUCCACGUAAAGUCCUGUGAAGACAGAAAUAAGGGAGAAAUUAAUGCUGAGGGAGAAAUUAAGGAUUUAGUAGGGUCUCAUAAAGUCUUUGGAACCAGAUCUGAUUGUUUCCUUUAGUUAAAUUCACUCAAACAUGCAAGCAUUUGUAUAAACAUCAGUGUUUUUUUCAGU